rnacentral:rRNA from 1 species
CCUACGGGAGGCAGCAGUGGGGAAUUUUGGACAAUGGGCGAAAGCCUGAUCCAGCAAUGCCGCGUGCAGGAUGAAGGCCUUCGGGUUGUAAACUGCUUUUGUACGGAACGAAACGGUCUUUUCUAAUACAGAGGGCUAAUGACGGUACCGUAAGAAUAAGCACCGGCUAACUACGUGCCAGCAGCCGCGGUAAUACGUAGGGUGCAAGCGUUAAUCGGAAUUACUGGGCGUAAAGCGUGCGCAGGCGGUUAUGUAAGACAGUUGUGAAAUCCCCGGGCUCAACCUGGGAAUUGCAUCUGUGACUGCAUAGCUAGAGUACGGUAGAGGGGGAUGGAAUUCCGCGUGUAGCAGUGAAAUGCGUAGAUAUGCGGAGGAACACCGAUGGCGAAGGCAAUCCCCUGGACCUGUACUGACGCUCAUGCACGAAAGCGUGGGGAGCAAACAGGAUUAGAUACCCUGGUAGUCCACGCCCUAAACGAUGUCAACUGGUUGUUGGGUCUUCACUGACUCAGUAACGAAGCUAACGCGUGAAGUUGACCGCCUGGGGAGUAACGGCCGCGAAGGUUGAAACUUCAAAGGAAUUGACGG